rnacentral:rRNA from 1 species
CCUACGGGAGGCAGCAGUGGGGAAUUUUGGACAAUGGGCGAAAGCCUGAUCCAGCAAUGCCGCGUGUGCGAAGAAGGCCUUCGGGUUGUAAAGCACUUUUGUCAGGAAAGAAAUUGUCUGGGCUAAUACCCCAGGCCGUUGACGGUACCUGAAGAAUAAGCACCGGCUAACUACGUGCCAGCAGCCGCGGUAAUACGUAGGGUGCAAGCGUUAAUCGGAAUUACUGGGCGUAAAGCGUGCGCAGGCGGUUCGUUAAGACAGUUGUGAAAUCCCCGGGCUUAACCUGGGAACUGCAAUUGUGACUGGCGGGCUAGAGUUUGGCAGAGGGGGGUGGAAUUCCUGGUGUAGCAGUGAAAUGCGUAGAUUUCAGGAGGAACACCGAUGGCGAAGGCAGCCCCCUGGGCCAUGACUGACGCUCAUGCACGAAAGCGUGGGGAGCAAACAGGAUUAGAUACCCUGGUAGUCCACGCCCUAAACGAUGUCUACUAGUUGUUGGGUCUUCAUUGACUUGGUAACGCAGCUAACGCGUGAAGUAGACCGCCUGGGGAGUACGGUCGCAAGAUUAAAACUCAAAGGAAUUGACGG